rnacentral:rRNA from 1 species
UACGUAGGGUGCGAGCGUUGUCCGGAAUUAUUGGGCGUAAAGGGCUCGUAGGCGGUUUGUCACGUCGGGAGUGAAAACUCGGGGCUCAACCCCGAGCCUGCUUCCGAUACGGGCAGACUAGAGGUAUGCAGGGGAGAAUGGAAUUCCUGGUGUAGCGGUGAAAUGCGCAGAUAUCAGGAGGAACACCGGUGGCGAAGGCGGCAACCUGGUCCUUGACUGACGCUGAGGCGCGAAAGCGUGGGGAGCAAACAGG